UUGGCUCUUCCUUGAAUAAAACCGAUUCUUUAACAUCUUUUUACAUUGUACUCUUUCUUUCCUUUGUCUGAUCCCUUGUCCUAAUGACUCAUGUACUUAAAUACCCUCUCUUUCUGGAAUGUCGUGCUUCCAGUGAGUCCUUUUGAUCUCUUGCCAAAAUUUACACCCUCCACCGAAUAUCUUUCUCAUUCCUUUUUGAAGUUUCUCCUCAAUAUUUAUCAUGACCUACCUUACUAUAUUUUUAGUUUAAUAUCAUGUUAAUUGUCUACUUCUUAUAUUAGAUCCCGAGAUCUAAGAUCCUUGACAGCAGUUUUUUGUAUGUUUGCUUGUUUUUCCUUGUUUGGUUCAAUUCUGUAGCCCAAGAACCUCUAACAUUGCAUGCAACAAUCAAUAAUUGACUGGUGUGGAAUGACUGAAUGAAGUUAAUAAUUUAAAUAGAACAAUAAAUUCUUCCUGUUCUACAUCAUCCAAUACAAUUUGUAAAAAAUAAUUUCAUAGCAUGAUUGGGUACCCUGUUUUUUGGAUUACAUUAUGCACAUAUUAUACACUUCACAAGUAUACACUUAGUUUCAAAUGUAUGUUUUCUACUUGGAAUUUUAGAAGGGUGAUUUCAAUGUAAUUAUGCUUAUUGCAUCAUUUAACUCUUGCAUAUGAAAUCCUUUAUAUUUAUACUAUUUUAUGUAUUUUAUCCUUCAUUAUUCCUAUGCUUUCUUGCCUUCUUACCAUGAAAUAUCAAUGUGUUGUGAAAUUUUUCUCAAUUGAUUUUUAUUUUCUUAAGCAAUAUAGGAAUCAUAACUGACUUCUCAUUUUAUUUAUUUUAAAAUAUUUAGAAUAUUUCCCAUAAUAGAGAAAAAUAUAUACUCCAUUUUAUAUUCUAAGGCCAAUUUUCACAUCUCUAUAUAUGAAUUCCCUAUUGCAUAUGACCUACUUAUUUACCUGUGUUUGAGAAACUAAAGAGCAUGUUCAUGGCUAUUCCCUACAGAGAUCUUGUUCAGGUGUCUACUUAGUUUUAUUAUCUUUGAAAUAAUGCCAGUUUGGAUUAGUGGGAAGAGCAAGGACUGGAAUGCAGGAAUUUGUUUUUAUUGAAUUUGGUACCUUGAAAUUUGGCCAAGUCAUUUACUCUCACUGGAUCUCACUUUCCUCAUCUAUGAAAUCAAAGUUUUGGAUUUUAGAAUUCAGUCAUUUAUCCUGAUUUAAUCUUCAUUAAAAUUUGGAUUUGUCUGUUGUGUUUUUGUUUGUUUGUUUACUUUAUUUCACUUUCUUGUCAAAUGAAAUUCCCUGUAAAGCAUAGGUUUUCAAGAUUCUCUAUUUGAUUUUUUGGCACUUGAGAUGUUUAUUACCAUGGGUUGGAGCAACAGGGUUUCCUGCAAGGAACUGGAUAGUGUUUUUUUGAUCAACCUACACUAAAUACCUAUUCUAUUGGGAAUUGAUAAUGAUUUUCUUUCAUAAUUUUCAUCAUUUACACACUUUUAGAAAAUUUAUCAUGACCAGAGAAAUAUGUGUCAAUCCGUUUAUGCUUUCAUCAAUUUGGAUUCAGAUUGUUUUGUAGCUCAAAGUUGCAGUUCAAUAGGGCACUCUUAUUCUUAGUGAUGUUGUAAUUUUCCUUUUAUUGUUUUUCUUUCAGUUGUAGAAAAUAAAUUUCACAGAAAAACUCAUGUUUUUUUCCAAGUAUUUUUUUAUUCUACUUUUAUUUUUGAAAUAAAUGAAGAAUGAAUAAAGGGAUAGAGAGUUUCAUUUCUCUACAAAUAAUAAAUUAAAUAAAAAUAAUAGUGGCACAUGGCCUCAGCCAUCAGAAAUUACAUUAUUUCAAAAUUUUAAUUGUAAAUUAUUUUAACAAUAAGUAUAUGGAAUAAGAAAGCCUUCAUUUGCUAAAAAUUUAAAAAUUAAAACCUUUUAUUUGUUCAUUUGUUAAAAAAUUGGGUUACAGAAAUUUUUAACUAUAAAUGAUUUUCUUUAAUUGAAAAGUUAAACAAAGAGAAUAAUAGAUGUUUUAUAUAGUCUGAAGUCCAGAGGUUUCAGUUAUAUAAACAAUGAAAGAAAUACCUUCUUACCAUGAAAUAUCAAUGUGUUGUGAAAUUUUUCUCAAUUGAUUUUUAUUCAGAAUUUCUUAAGCAAUAUAGGAAUCAUAACUGACUUCUCAUUUUACUUAUUUUAAAAUAUUUAGAAUAUUUCCCAUAAUAGAGAAAAAUAUAUACUCCAUUUUAUAUUUAUUCUAAGGCCAAUUUUCACAUCUCUAUAUAUGAAUUCCCUAUUGCAUAUGACCUACUUAUUUACCUGUGUUUGAGAAACUAAAGAGCAUGUUCAUGGCUAUUCCCUACAGAGAUCUUGUUCAGGUGUCUACUUAGUUUUAUUAUCUAAAAUAUUAAAGUGUAUGAGCUUAUUUAUCAGAAUUAUUUGGUGCCUUUUCUUUUGUAACUUCAAUAUAUAUGAUUUAUUUUCUUAGUUUAAGGGUCAACUUUCCUCUAGGGGUACUACAGAAUUUCUAGAAGUGUUUCUAUUAGUGGUUACUACCAGUUCCUUUUUUAUUACCCGUGGAGAUCUUCUCUAUCAAAGUGAGCCUUGCUAUUUUUAUCAACUCUGAGUAUACCUGAGGUCUAGAGGAAAAAAAAGAGAGAGAGAGAGAAACUCAAAAUAUGGAAUAUAGCAAUUUUUCACCCCAUUCUUUGAAUUUUAGUCAAAAUACUCUCAUGUAUAAUCCAAGCAGUCAUGAUACUUCCCAUGUGGAUAAUUCCUUUAUCACUAAAACAUAUUUUUUCACAUGAAUUGUAUUUAACAAACAACAGUUUUUGCAGAAAAACAUCUGAAUAGUUUCAUUUUCGCUACAUUUAUCUGCAAUGUGUUUGUAUUUGUGAACUGCCUAUUCUCCUACUGCUUAAAUAAUUACCUACUAAGCUUUUCCUUAAAUAAGUAUGUGCUGAACUCGAUGUAUGUAUGGCUCCAAGUUUCUUUGACAACAGGGUUUUUUUCCUCAACAAAGAUAAAUGAAAUGUCUAUUUUUUACACAUAAACUCAAUUCUUAUUACAAUCAGCAGUGAGUGUAAUGAAUAAGCUGACUCUAACUUUUUUAACCAAUGAGUUUAACAGUUAGUGUACAUUUCGUGUUUGUUUAGAGUUAAAAUUUAAAAUGAUGAUAAAAUUAUUUUUGAAGGUAGAAUUUUUAUCCUGCCUAUGGUUAUAGUUGUUAGAACUAAGUAAUUCAUUAUGAAUCCAGUACUUUCCAAGAGUAUUGGAUGUAAUGAUUUUUGAGAAAUUUGAUGGAGAUGCAAGAUGUGUGAAAGAGAAAAAAUGACUAAUUGAUGGCAUGCAGGGACCAAAAAAUUAUGGUCAUUGAUUUAUGAGGAAUAAUGACCAAUAUAUGAUGGCUAUGAGUACUCUAAUUGAAUGUACCUGAGUUAAUAAACAUGUCAAGAGAGAAAGACUAUGAAAAGUGUUUUAGUUUUGGUGUUCAAAGUAAGUUCUAUAGGGAGGUGACAUGUGAGCCAGUAAGGAGAUAAGGACAUAUGACAGUAUAUGACUCAGAUACCAUGAAGACUCAUGUUGCUGAGGAGAGAAUUCCAGAAAGAGAAGUGAGCAAUUUUACAGGUCUUAAGUUGGGAAGCCUUCCAAUUAGACGUGAUAUGAGUAUUUUAUUUUUACCAUGAGUUGGUAAAUAAUUUGAAAAUUUUAUUUUAUUUCUUUCCAUCUAUUAACCACAGAUUCCCAGUCUAUUCCACUCCCUCUCUCUCCCCCUUGGCAACCACAAGUCUGUUCUCCAAGUCCAUGAGUUUCUUUUCUGUGGAAAGUUUCAUUUGUGCUAUAUAUUAGAGUUAGAGUCCAGAUAUGUGAUAUCAUAUGGUAUUUGUCUUUCUCUUUCUGACUUAUUUCAUUUAGUAUGAGAGUCUCUAGUUCCAUCCAUAUUGCUGCAGAUGGCAUUAUUUUGUUCUAUUUUAUGGCUGAGUAGUAUUCCAACAUGUAUAUAUAGCUCAUUUUUGUUUUUGUUUUUGUUUUGUUUUGUUUUUAGGGCCGCACCCACAGCAUAUGGAGGUUCCUAGGUGACGGGUGGAAUUUGAGCUACAGCUGCUGGCCUACACCACAGCCACAGCCAUGCCAGAUCUGAGCCACAUCUGUGACCUAUACCACAGCUCAUGGAAAUGCCAGAUCCUCACCCUACUGAAGGAGGCCAGGGAUCGAACCUGCGUCCUCAUGGAUGCUAGUCAGAUUUGUUUCUGCUGAGCCACGACCAGAACCUCAUACCAUGUCUUCAUAAUCCAUUCCUCUGUUGAUGGACACUUAGGUUGUUUCCAUGUCUUGGCUACUGUGAAUAGUGCUGCAUUGAACACACAGGUGCAUGUUUCUUUUUCAAGGAAAAUUUUGUCUGGAUAUAUGCCCAAAGGUGGGAUUGCUGGGUCAUAUGGUAGUUCUAUAUUUAAUUUUCUGAGGUACUUCCAUACUGUUUUCCAAAGUGGUUGUACCAACUUACAUUCCCAUUAACAGUGUAGAAGGGUUCCCUUUUCUCCACACCCCCUCCAGCAUUUGUUAUUUGUGGACUUAUUAAUGAUGGCCAUUCUGACAGGUGUGAGGUGGUACCUCAUAGUAGUUUUUAUUUGCAUUUCUCUAAUAAUCAGGGAUGUUGAGCAUUUUUUUCAUGUGCUUGUUGGCCAUCUCUUUAUUAUUAUUCUUAAUAGUAUCCAUGUUUUAUUAUGAAUUCUUUGUGCAUUGUCAUAUGUAUUUGAUUUUGUUUCUUUCACUUUAAUGACUUGAAUUACAUUCUUAUAUUUGUGUUUCAUGAUUUACAAAAUCUGUAGAGGAUUUUUAUGCCACUAAAACACCCAGAAAAAUAUUGGAACACAUAUUUCCUUCUACUGAACUUCACUCAUUCUAUGUUAUUUCUUUUUAUUGUCUCACCUACACCAUCCAUUUUAACUUUAUCUGUGUUUAUAAAAAUUAGAUUCUGUUCUAUAGUGGAAGCUAUUUAGUAUUAUCUCUUUUAAAUGUUUUAUUAUUCUUAUAGAAAAUAUUUCAAAACUUAGGAACUUACAACAACACACAUUUAUAUCCUCUCAGCUUCUGUAGGCCAGAAGUCCAAGUAUUGCUUAGCUGAGUGAUCUUGCCUCUAGCUCAUUAUCGCUCAUGAGGUUUCAGUCAAACUGUUGGUGGUAGAGUUUCAUCUCAGAGCUUGACUGAGAGAAUUGUUGGCAGGAUUCAGUUCCUCACGUUGCUUGACCAAGGCCCUCAACUUCUCACAGACUCCCUGAUUUGUGGGCAUCUCCUUAGUGCAGCUCACAUCAUGGCAGCUGGCUUACUUCAGAGCAAGCAAGGGAGAGAGAGAACCCAUGGUGAAAGCUACUGCCUUUUUAUAGUCUAAUCUUGGAGCUGAUUUCUGUGAUAUUCUGUUCCCUAGAAGGAAGUUACUAAAUGUAGCCCACACUCAAGGUAUGGAAGUUACACGAGGGAAUGAAUAGCAUGAGGCAGGGACCAUCAGAGCGCCUCUUCCAGUCUGCCUACAUCAAGUGGAUUCAGUGCUCAGAGUCUGAUCUUUUGGAACCACAUUGUCAACAACUUUGCAUGACUUAUUUUGAUUUAUCUUGUAUUU
rnacentral:lncRNA from 1 species